rnacentral:rRNA from 1 species
AAUAUUGGACAAUGGGCGGAAGCCUGAUCCAGCCAUGCCGCGUGUGUGAAGAAGGUCUUCGGAUUGUAAAGCACUCUAAGUGGUGAGGAAGGGCAGUUAACGGAUACUUAACUGUGUGGAUGGUACCACAAGAAUAAGCACGGGCUAACUUCGGGCCAGCAGCCGCGGUAAUACGAAGGGUGCAAGCGUUAAUCGGAAUUACUGGGCGUAAAGCGCGCGUAGGUGGUUCGUUAAGUUGGAAGUGAAAGCCCCGGGCUCAACCUGGGAAUUGCUUUCAAAACUGGCGAGCUAGAGUACGGUAGAGGGUGGUGGAAUUUCCUGUGUAGCGGUGAAAUGCGUAGAUAUAGGAAGGAACAUCAGUGGCGAAGGCGACCACCUGGACUGAUACUGACACUGAGGUGCGAAAGCGUGGGGAGCAAACAGG